UGGUGUGUGUGAGGGUGCUGUUAGUAUGAGGGUGCUGUAAGUGUGUGUAUGUGUAAGGGUGCUGUGUGUGUAAGGGUGAUGGAUGUGUGUGGGUGCUGUUUGUGUGUAUUGUGUGGGGACCGUUUAGGAAAUAGCCCCCUUCUUACCUUUUGUAAGAGAGGGGACCGUGCUGCUGCCAUGCCUGGUGGUCCAGUGGUGAGUGAACUCUAGCCUGCGGGGCUAUAGUUAACUCUCGCGAGAUUUGAGCGUUGCAGGGCUAGAGCUUCCCAGGUCCUCUCAUGCCUCCCUCUCUGCCUGUGGGCCGGUCACCGACUCAUGGAGGCACAUAGCGCGGGCCGUGAGGAUUAGGGUGUGUCUAAGGUAUCAACUGAAAAGUGCAAGCUCUUUAACCAUUUAUGAAACCUGCACAGAGAAGGGCUACUAAACUGGUUCCUGGUUUGCAGGAUAAAACUUACCAGGAAAGGUUAAAGGAUCUUAACAUGUAUAGCUUGGCAGAAAGACGAGACUGGGGGGAUAUGAUAGAAACAUUU